UACGGAGGGGGUUAGCGUUGUUCGGAAUUACUGGGCGUAAAGCGCACGUAGGCGGAUUAGAAAGUUGGGGGUGAAAUCCCGGGGCUCAACCUCGGAACUGCCUCCAAAACUCCUAGUCUAGAGUUCGAGAGAGGUGAGUGGAAUUCCAAGUGUAGAGGUGAAAUUCGUAGAUAUUUGGAGGAACACCAGCGGCGAAGGCGGCUCACUGGCUCGAUACUGACGCUGAGGUGCGAAAGUGUGGGGAGCAAACAGG
rnacentral:rRNA from 1 species